UAUAUCGAUAAUCUGGUAUAUUGGUUUUAAUUUCCUGUACCGUAUGAAGUUUUCAUUUACCGCCAUACUGAUGAAUAGCUGAUAUAAUUGGCGUAACUCUUCAAUAAGCAGCAAAAUAUAGAAUCACCAUCAAGAGCAGUGGGGUCGUGACAGGCAAUGUAACCUUCUUAUGACUAUAUAACACAACAGUAAUGAACACAGGAACUCACUCCCUAUAGCAACAUUAUGGCUAAAUGCACAGAGAACUACAUCUGAGGCAGUUUGCAUGCUGUGUAGUCUAGCAACAGGUCCCAUUAGGGAGAAAAAAAAACUUCACUCUUCAGGAAAGCAGGAACACCGACAGGUACUCUUGAGGUAAUGUUACUGUACAUCGUUUUUCCUGACGGUCCUUUCAGUCCAUUCUUCGUUUUUUUCUUCUUUCAGUGAA